rnacentral:rRNA from 1 species
GAUGAACGCUGACUAAAUGCUUAACACAUGCAAGUCUACUUGAACUUCGGUUUGGGUGGGCUACCGGUGACUAACACCUAAACAACUUGCCUCACAGUUAAGGACAACAUUUGCAAACUAAUGCAAAUACCUGAUAUUAUGAUAUUAGGGCAUCCUAUUAUUAUACAAAGCUAUAGUGCGCUGUGACAGAGCUUUGCUUCCCAUUAACUACUUGGAGACGUAACAGCUCACCAAGGCGAUGAUGGGUACCCUGCCUGACAAGGUGAACGGCCACUAGGAGACUGAGACACCGCCCUUACUCCUACAGGAGGCACCAAUGCCGAAUAUUGGACAAUGGACCAAAAAUCUGAUCCAGCAAUUCUGUGUGCACCAUGACGUUUUUCGGAAUGUAAAAUGCUUCCCCUUGGUAAGAAAAGCAUGACUGCACCAACAAAAAAAGUGACGGCUAACUACGUGCCAUCAACCGCAGUAAUACGGAUGUCACAAUCCUUAUCCAGAUUUAUUGGGCGUACAGCACGUCUAGGUGGUUAUGUAAUUCUGAUGUGAAAAUGCAAGGCUCAACUCUGUGUUGCGUUGGAAACUGCAUGACGAGAGUGCUGCAUACGAAACCGGAACUACAAGUGUAGAGGUGAAAUUCCUAGAUAUUUGUAGGAAUGCCGAUGGGGAAGCCAGCUUACUGGACAGAUACUGACGCUAAAGCUCGAAAGCUGUGGGUAUCAAACAGGAUUAGAUACCCUGGUAGUCCACGCCGUAAACGAUGAUUACUAGGUGUUGGGGGUCGAACAUCAGCUCCCAAGCUAACGCGAUAAGUAUUCCGCCUGGGGAGUACGUCCGCAACUAUGAAACUCAAAGGAAUUGACGGGGACCCGCACAAGCGGAGGAGCAUGUGGUUUAAUUCGACGCAACGCGAGGAACCUUACCAGCGUUUGACAUCUUAGGAAUGAGACAGAGAUGUUUCUUUGUCUCUUCGUUGAAACCUAAAGACAGGUGGUGCAUGGCUGUCUCUCAGCUCGUCUCGUGAGAUGUUGGGUUAAGUCCCGCAACGAGCCCACCCCCUUUCGUAUGUUCCCUUCAGUAAGUUGGGGCCUCAUGCGAUUCUGCCUGCGAUGAGCAGGAGGAAGGUGGGGAAGACGUCAAGUCAUCCUGCCCCUUAUACUCUGGGGUACCCCCGUGGUUCAAUGGGUAGUACCGAGAGUUGCAAACCCGCGAGGUGGAGCUAAUUUCAGAAAACCUAUUCUCAGUUCGGAUUGUAGUCUGCAACUCGAGUCCAUGAAGUUGGAAUCGCUAGUAAUCGCGAAUCAGCCAUGUCGCGGUGAAUACGUUCUCGGGUCU